UGUAUCCUCCACAGCGGUCACCAAGGGCUCAGAACAAGUCCUCCGACUAAAAGGAAAUGGGCAAACCCAGAAUCUUAGCCCACAAAGCCUCAGGUCUCUGCUUGUCCACAAAAUAACCACUCCGAUCCUCCCAAAGGUUCAAUUCCAAUCUAACUCCUUCGAAAUUCCAACACCCGUUAUGAAUUCUGCGUGCUUCUGCUCUUGACGGGAGGAUGAACAUGUACAUGGACCCAUUCAUGUCCUUAACUUCUACCGAAGUAAUUCCCCAGGUAUAACUGCACCAACUUGCAAGCUCCUUAGCAUUCGAGACUUCUCCGGUCCAAUCUACCAGCGUUCCAACCAAGCAUCGGUCUUUGAGGAAGGGAAUUACUGAGCACGACACCGGGAUGACCUUCACAACUUAUUUCGGUCCCCCACCCAUCGGUUGAACCUCGCAACUCAUCGGCGGCCAACUCCCGGAAGCCGCUGCCUGGAGAUAGGUCAUCUUCACCCCCGGCUCGAGAUUGACUGAUCCCUGCGUAACAAUGUUGACACGGCCAACGACUUUACGACUGUCCUUCUCCCUCCUCCCAGAAUUGAAUCCGAACAAGGCAUUAGAAAGGUCCCUCCAACCGGUCCCAUACUCGGAGGCUGGAAUUGAAAUCCUUUCCUUAACUGUAGACGAAAUGACUGCUGCCACCACAAACUCUCCUAUGCUAUUAUGUCUUCUGAAAACCUCCAAUCGUCUGUAGCCCCCUCUCAGACUAGCGUAUAAGCCCCGAUGGUGGAACGAUUCUCACAAAAGGGGUCACCAAUCUCGAAGCUGACAAAAACCCUAGCCUCCUCCAUCCAGACAACCUCUCUCCCUUCAGCCUCCUUUCUUCCUUUUCUUUGCAAAAUUCUUCCCUUUCGGCGUGAUUUGCAGAUCUCGUGCGACGUAAACCACCGAUGGUGUCAGGGCCUUGUUUGUGGGCAAACCCAAAAUCCUAACCCAUAAAGCCUCAGGUCUUUGCUUGUCCACAAAACAACCACUCCGAUCCUCCCAAAGGUUCAAUUCCAAUCUAACUCCUUUGAAAUUCCAACACCCGUUAUGAAUUAUGCGUGCUUCUGCUCUUGAUGGGAGGAUGAACAUGUACAUGGACCCAUUCAUGUCCUUAACUUCCACCGAAGUAAUUCCCCAGGUAUAACUGCACCAACUUGCAAGCUCCUUAGCAUUCGAGACUUCUCCGGUCCAAUCUACCAGCGUUCCAACCAAGCAUCGGUCUUUGAGGAAGGGAAUUACUGAGCACGACACCGGGAUGACCUUCACAACUUAUUUCGGUCCCCCACCCAUCGGUUGAACCUCGCAACUCAUCGGCGGCCAACUCCCGGAAGCCGCUGCCUGGAGAUAGGUCAUCUUCACCCCCGGCUCGAGAUUGACUGAUCCCUGCGUAACAAUGUUGACACGGCCAACGACUUUACGACUGUCCUUCUCCCUCCUCCCAGAAUUGAAUCCGAACAAGGCAUUAGAAAGGUCCCUCCAACCGGUCCCAUACUCGGAGGCUGGAAUUGAAAUCCUUUCCUUAACUGUAGACGAAAUGACUGCUGCCACCACAAACUCUCCUAUGCUAUUAUGUCUUCUGAAAACCUCCAAUCGUCUGUAGCCCCCUCUCAGACUAGCGUAUAAGCCCCGAUGGUGGAACGAUUCUCACAAAAGGGGUCACCAAUCUCGAAGCUGACAAAAACCCUAGCCUCCUCCAUCCAGACAACCUCUCUCCCUUCAGCCUCCUUUCUUCCUUUUCUUUGCAAAAUUCUUCCCUUUCGGCGUGAUUUGCAGAUCUCGUGCGACGUAAACCACCGAUGGUGUCAGGGCCUUGUUUGUGGGCAAACCCAAAAUCCUAACCCAUAAAGCCUCAGGUCUUUGCUUGUCCACAAAACAACCACUCCGAUCCUCCCAAAGGUUCAAUUCCAAUCUAACUCCUUUGAAAUUCCAACACCCGUUAUGAAUUAUGCGUGCUUCUGCUCUUGAUGGGAGGAUGAACAUGUACAUGGACCCAUUCAUGUCCUUAACUUCCACCGAAGUAAUUCCCCAGGUAUAACUGCACCAACUUGCAAGCUCCUUAGCAUUCGAGACUUCUCCGGUCCAAUCUACCAGCGUUCCAACCAAGCAUCGGUCUUUGAGGAAGGGAAUUACUGAGCACGACACCGGGAUGACCUUCACAACUUAUUUCGG
rnacentral:lncRNA from 1 species